rnacentral:rRNA from 1 species
UACGAAGGGGGCUAGCGUUGCUCGGAAUGACUGGGCGUAAAGGGCGCGUAGGCGGAUCGCUCAGUCGGGCGUGAAAUCCCCGGGCUCAACCCGGGGCGGUCGCCCGAGACGAGUGGUCUGGAGUGGGGGAGGGGGUCGCGGAAUUCCCAGUGGAGAGGUGAAAUGCGUAGAUAUUGGGAAGAACACCGGUGGCGAAGGCGGCGACCUGGCCCUUGACUGACGCUGAGGCGCGACAGCGUGGGGAGCAAACAGG